AAGAAAAGAAAGGAAAGGAAAAGAAAAAAAGAUAGAAAAUUAGAAGAAAGAAGAAAAGAGAAAGAAGAAGAUAGCCAUGGAUGCCAUCAUUAUCAUCAUAAACACCAUGAUUUCAUCUCAUCUUCUUCACCAACUUCAUCUCUAUUUCAUCAUCUCAAGGUGAGUUCUUAGUUUAGUUAUAGCUUUGGGGAGAAAUUUCAUGAAAUUGGGGGUUAGGAAUUUAUGAUGUUUAUUAUGUUUGUUAAAUUGAUGAUUGAUAUAUGAACUUCUUGGUGUGUUGCAACUCUAUGGUUGUUAAUCCAUGAUAUAUGAUGUUGGUUGUUGUGUUGUUGUUAGAAUGGUAUUAAUAUCAUAUUGGAAUAUCAUAUGGUGAAACCAUGUUGAUGUUGUUGCAUGUAUAAUGAUAUGUCAUGUUGAUGUAGUUGAUGUUGUGUUGAUGUUAUGAGAAUAUACGAAGGAACAAAGUUGUUGUUGUUGUCUCUUGUUGUUAUUUUUCAGGUAAUCCUUGCAGGUUGAAUCUAAGAGAAGCUGUUUAUGGAUGUUUCAAGGGAUGUUGUUUAUCAUGAUCUUCCGUUGUGGACUUGUGUGCAAUGAAGAUAUUGCACAUAGUUCUUAGAUUUUUAUUGUUUAGGCACUAUUAUAUAACAUGUUUCAUUGAUGUUUUUAGUUUGGACAUGUAUAUAUAUUGAUGCCAAUAGGCACUUAUGAUUGUGUCAGUACCAAAUAAUAACACUUGUAUGAUAUUAUUCUAGAUAUA